GCCGCCAUAGCUCAGUGGUAGAGCACUGGUCUUGUAAACCAGGCGUCGUCGUGAGUUCAAUCCUCAUUGGCGGCA
rnacentral:tRNA from 1 species